rnacentral:lncRNA from 1 species
AAGGUGCUUGUUUCCCCUUCACCUUCCACCAUGAUUCUACAUUUCCUGAGGCCUCCCCAGCACUGUGGAACUAUGAGGAAGCGGGCGCAUAGCAAGUUUAAAUAACUUGCAGAAGGACACACAGUUUGCAAGUGAAGGAGCUCAAAUUCAAAGACUGGCAGUCUGCAUCCAGAGUUGAUCGUCUUAAAUACCAUGCUGAACCGGUUGCUCCCAAAGUCUAAACAGUAUUUUUUACAAUAAGAUAUCCUUUUGUAGGUCAACGAAUAGUUUCUAAUUCUUUUUAAAAUAAAAUACAAUGAACUGAAUACAA